UGCCAGCCGCCGCGGUAAUACGGAGGGUGCAAGCGUUGUUCGGAUUUACUGGGCGUAAAGAGCGCGUAGGCGGCUUCAUAAGUUAAGGGUGAAAUCCCGGGGCUUAACUCCGGAACUGCUCUUAAAACUGUGGAGCUAGAGACAAUCAGAGGUGGGUGGAAUUCCAGGUGUAGAGGUGAAAUUCGUAGAUAUCUGGAGGAACACCGGUGGCGAAGGCGGCCCACUGGGAUUGUUCUGACGCUGAGGCGCGAAAGCGUGGGGAGCGAACGGGAUUAGAUA
rnacentral:rRNA from 1 species